rnacentral:rRNA from 1 species
CAAUAGCGUAUAUUAAAGUUGUUGCGGUAAACAAGCUCGUAGUUGGAUUUCUACCGAAGAUAGCCGGUCGGGUCUUCGACCUUGUAUCUGGUUUUGUCUUUGGUAUCCUCAUAGGGAACGUUUCUGCGCUUUAUUGCGUGGUGCGGUAUCUAUGACUUUUACUUUGAGGAAAUUAGAGUGUUCACGGCAGGCAAACGCCUUGAAUAUAUUAGCAUGGAAUAAUAACAUAGGAUCUUCGUCCUAUUUUGUUGGUUUCUAGGGCUAAGAUAAUGAUUAAUAGGGAUAAUUGGGGGCAUCUGUAUCAACGCGUCAGAGGUGGAAUUCUUGGAUUGCGUUGCGACAAACUACUGCGAAAGCAUUUGCCAAGGAUGUUUUCAUUGA